rnacentral:rRNA from 1 species
GAUCAACGCUGGCGGCGUGCCUAAUACAUGCCAGUCGAGCGAACAGACGAGGAGCUUGCUCCUCUGACGUUAGCGGCGGACGGGUGAGUAACACGUGGAUAACCUACCUAUAAGACUGGGAUAACUUCGGGAAACCGGAGCUAAUACCGGAUAACAUGUUGAACCGCAUGGUUUAACAGUGAAAGACGGUCUUGCUGUCACUUAUAGAUGGAUCCGCGCCGCAUUAGCUAGUUGGUAAGGUAACGGCUUACCAAGGCAACGAUGCGUAGCCGACCUGAGAGGGUGAUCGGCCACACUGGAACUGAGACACGGUCCAGACUCCUACGGGAGGCAGCAGUAGGGAAUCUUCCGCAAUGGGCGAAAGCCUGACGGAGCAACGCCGCGUGAGUGAAGAAGGUCUUCGGAUCGUAAAACUCUGUUAUUAGGGAAGAACAAAUGUGUAAGUAACUAUGCACGUCUUGACGGUACCUAAUCAGAAAGCCACGGCUAACUACGUG